rnacentral:lncRNA from 1 species
CCAAUGAGUAUUUAGGUGCCGACUGCUCUUCCACUGAUGGAGAAGAAAGUGAUACACCUCAAAAAUCUUAAGAACAAAGAAACUACAGAGCUGUUAAUAGAAGCUAUUUGGCAGGGUGGGAAGCUUGUUUUACUGCCUUUAAUUGGAUUUAAUUUUUAAAACCCUUUUGCCUAACAGUAAUCCUCGGAUCAGGUGGGACCUUACCCAAGACUGGCAAGCCCAGUCUGUUUGGAAGCACAAUGGGGAGACUUGAGCCUGCCCAGGUACAUGUAGUCAGCAACUUCAUGUUAAAAAAAAAAGCAUCCUGGGUAGGUGGGGGGCAGUGAUGAGGAUGUAAAGUGAAUGAAAUAAUAAUAAUAAUAACAACAACAACAACAUCAUCAUCAUCUUACUGGGAUGGCAAGUCAGUGGUCAGGAAAAAAAGUACAUUGG